AUACGUAGGGGACGAGCGUUGUCCGGAAUUACUGGGCGUAAAGGGCGCGCAGGCGGAUAUUUAAGUCAGCUGUAAAAGGCAUGAGCUCAACUCAUGUAUGCGGUUGAAACUGGGUAUCUAGAGUGCUGGAGAGGUAGGCGGAAUUCCCGGCGGAGCGGUGAAAUGCGUAGAUAUCGGGAAGAACAACAGUGGCGAAGGCGGCUUACUGGCCAGCAACUGACGCUGAGGCGCGAAAGCCAGGGGAGCGAACGGGAUUAGAUACCCCGGUAGUCCUGGCCGUAAACGAUGAAUGCUAGGUGUGGGUGUCGAGAGGCAUCCGUGCCGGAGUUAACGCGAUAAGCAUUCCGCCUGGGGAGUACGAUCGCAAGAUUGAAACUCAAAUGAAUUGACGGGG
rnacentral:rRNA from 1 species